rnacentral:rRNA from 1 species
GACGAACGCUGGCGGCGUGCUUAACACAUGCAAGUCGAACGGAAAGGCCCUGCUUUUGUGGGGUGCUCGAGUGGCGAACGGGUGAGUAACACGUGAGUAACCUGCCCUUGACUUUGGGAUAACUUCAGGAAACUGGGGCUAAUACCGGAUAGGAGCUCCUGCUGCAUGGUGGGGGUUGGAAAGUUUCGGCGGUUGGGGAUGGACUCGCGGCUUAUCAGCUUGUUGGUGGGGUAGUGGCUUACCAAGGCUUUGACGGGUAGCCGGCCUGAGAGGGUGACCGGCCACAUUGGGACUGAGAUACGGCCCAGACUCCUACGGGAGGCAGCAGUGGGGAAUAUUGCUCAAUGGGCGGAAGCCUGAUGCAGCAACGCCGCGUGCGGGAUGACGGCCUUCGGGUUAUAAACCGCUUUCGCCUGUGACGAAGCGUGAGUGACGGUAAUGGGUAAAGAAGCACCGGCUAACUACGUG